GGUGGUGCAUGGUUGUCGUCAGCUCGUGUCGUGAGACGUUGGGUUAAGUCCCGCAACGAGCGCAACCCUUAAGCUUAGUUGCCAGCAUUCAGUUGGGCACUCUAAGGUGACUGCCGGUGACAAACCGGAGGAAGGUGGGGAUGACGUCAAAUCAUCAUGCCCCUUAUGACCUGGGCUACACACGUGCUACAAUGGACGGUACAAACGGUUGCCAACCCGCGAGGGGGAGCUAAUCCGAUAAAACCGUUCUCAGUUCGGAUUGUAGGCUGCAACUCGCCUACAUGAAGCCGGAAUCGCUAGUAAUCGUGGAUCAGCAUGCCACGGUGAAUACGUUCCCGGGUCUUGUACACACC
rnacentral:rRNA from 1 species